UCUAAUGGCCAGAGGACCAUCAAAGAAACAUACUGAUUUAAUUCCAUUAUCCCUGAGUCUCUCCAGGUGCUUGCCCGCUGACCAAAAAGCCCAAAAACUCUGCGUAGGAUAUUGGGUUUGCAUUGAUUAUUUCAGCUUCACAGAAACAAGUGGAUACCCAAAUCAAAGGAAAAGGUGGUUCUUCUUGGUACCAAAAUUGUUACUUUCCCUUGUUUUGCUUUGUAGUCGCGGAUGUUCGCUUUUUUGGGCCACAAAGUGAGUACAUAGUAAGUGGAAGUGAUUGCGGACAUACUUUCUUGUGGGACAAACAGACGGAAGAGGUGGUACAGUUUCUACAGGGAGACAACACUAGGAAGUGGUUUUGUGUGGAGCCUCACCCACAUGAUCCUAUUCUGGCUACCAAUGGCUUUAACAACAGCAUCAACCUGUGGUUACCAACAGCAGAACAACCAACAGAUUUGGAUGGUCUGGAAAAUGUGAUCAGAGCUAAUGAGCGAGAAAGAGAAGCAAUUGAGGAUCC